rnacentral:misc_RNA from 1 species
UCCUGGUUAACCCAGGCAGUCUCACUAGAGUUCCCACCCGAAGUGUUGGCAACUAGUGAUAAGGGUUGCGCUCGUUGCGGGACUUAACCCAACACCUCACGGCACGAGCUGACGACAGCCAUGCAGCACCUGUGCCUCUGUCCUUUCGGAAGACGACAUUUCUGCCGCUGUCAGAGGCAUGUCAAACCUGGGUAAGGUUCUUCGCGUUGCAUCGAAUUAAACCACAUGCUCCACUGCUUGUGCGGGCCCCCGUCAAUUCUUUUGAGUUUCACCCUUGCGAGCGUACUCCUCAGGCGGUAUACUUAACGCGUUAGCUACGACACGAACGGGGUUGAGACCAUUCACAUCAAGUAUACAUCGUUUACGGCAAGGACUAC